GAUGAACGCUAGCGACAGGCCUAACACAUGCAAGUCGAGGGGUAACAGAUUAGAAGCUUGCUUUUAAUGCUGACGACCGGCGCACGGGUGAGUAACGCGUAUGCAAUCUACCUCUUACAGGGGAAUAGCCCGAAGAAAUUCGGAUUAAUGCCCCAUGGUUUUAUAAUAUCGCAUGGUAUUAUAAAUAAAGUUCCGGCGGUAAGAGAUGAGCAUGCGUCCCAUUAGUUAGUUGGUAAGGUAACGGCUUACCAAGACUUCGAUGGGUAGGGGUUCUGAGAGGAAAGUCCCCCACACUGGUACUGAGACACGGACCAGACUCCUNACGGGAGGCAGCAGUGAGGAAUAUUGGUCAAUGGACGCAAGUCUGAACCAGCCAUGUCGCGUGCAGGAAGACGGCCCUAUGGGUUGUAAACUGCUUUUCUACAGGAAGAAACCCCGCUACGUGUAGCGGUUUGCCUGUACUGUAGGAAUAAGCAUCGCUAACU
rnacentral:rRNA from 1 species